GGCCGGUUAGCUCAGUGGUUUGAGCGCGGUGCUGACAAUAACAACACUGAGGUCGUGGGUUCGAUUCCUGCUUGGUCCC
rnacentral:tRNA from 1 species